rnacentral:lncRNA from 1 species
CGAGAGCAGGGUCAGCAGGUCAAUUGGUGCUGGACAUUAAAGAGCAUUUUGACAAAAACAAUGCAAAGGCGGUUGCAAAAGACAAAAUCAGGAACUUAGAAAAGCUAAUAAAAGAUUGGAUUAAGAGGGAUGGUACCCGAAGCAGACAAACCUGUUCCAACCAGAGAAGAUUGUGUAAUGUUGAGACAGCGUUCAACAGAUGAGAUGGAACAGAAAAAGAGGAAGAUAGAUGAGAAAAACUUCCUCCAGUCGAAAAGACAUGCCCGAGAUGACUGGAGUGAUGAGAAUAUAUUUAGAGACGAAAUAAUGGGGAUGAUCAUGAAAGGGGCGAUAAUGGCAAACAAAAGAAAGAGACAAAAUUCAGUGGAGAAGGGAGAAAAGACACAGAUCGAAAAUGAACCAGAAAAAAGAGGAAAGAAUAUGGACGAAAGUAGGGAGACAGAAAACACACUGUAUCUACCUCUACCUGUGGCUACAGCCAGCGCGCCCCCACCAUAUAAUGGGUUCAGCCGCAGGGACUUGGUAACACAAGCACCUAUGGUGGUAAUUCCUGCACAAAGAUUAGAGAUAAUUGACGAAGAGAUGGAAGGUGUGUCCAACCUAGUGAAAAUGAAAACAGAAUACAUUGCAGAUGGGGUAGACAGACUUGCAGAAUGUACACACGCUUUAACGAAAAUGGUGGCAAACACUGCACAUUUGGUAACUGUAACUGGACAAGGGAGUGAACUGCGUUUAGCAUCUGAUUUAGCCCGCACACAUGACCAAUGUGUGAGCACAAAUGGCCUGGUGCAAGGCCUCAUAGACAACAUCAAUGAAAGAAUAGAGGAGGUAGACUCAAAGGAAUCAGAUACUGAAGAAGGCAUGAUCAGGGAGAAUAGAGGGGCUGACAGGGCUGAGCGCACUGACCCCCCAGAAUAUGCCACAUAUAUGUCAUCGCAUGAUUUUGUACAGAGUGAGGGAUUCAACAAGUCUAGAGAGGAGAGAGAAAGUGAGGAGAGGCAGAGAAAGGGAGCAGACAGAAAGAGAAGUUCACCGCGCAGUGAGAGCAGAAGGGUGGGGGCCGA